GGGAGCUGUAAGUAUUUUGGACAGAGGAAGUCUGUGAUUACAGAAAUUAUGUGAAUUUAGAUUAUUGGAGUGAAGUCUGUUAUUCUUGGUAUUGGAUGGAAAUUAUUAUGGUUUGAGCAGUCUUUUGAGAGUGUAGGAUUGUACACUAUUGUUAUUAGUUGAUGAAUGAGUAUUGUUAUUGAGAGAAAGCAUUGUAGUAUUUCUUAGUAUUUCAGUGGUUUGAAAUACGGUUAAUUGUGUGAUCCUAACAAGUAAAACUCAUGUACUUAGUCUUUUCUUGUAUUCCAAUUCUCUUAUAUAGUUUAUUUUGAAAGAAAUUAUAAAAUAAGUAAAAC
rnacentral:lncRNA from 1 species